rnacentral:misc_RNA from 1 species
CAAAGAAUAUCAGUGACAAUUUAAAUGUGGAAUCCAUCGACUCUGUUGCACCCAGUUCUAGCAAAGAAGUUAAAGUUAACAAUGGUGAAGUUCCUGAGUGGGCAAGAGUUCUAGAACCUGUAAGAAAGCUACCCACAAAUGUGGGAGCAAGGAUUCGAAGGUGUAUUUAUGAUGCUUUGGCUCUAAAUCCACCGGAAUGGGCAACAAAGAUUUUGGAACAUUCAAUCAGUAAGGAAGUCUACAAGGGAAAUGCUUCAGGACC